UAACGGAGUAAAAGUAUACAUUUUAUCUUGAAAAUGUAGUGAAAGUGAGUAAAAGUGAAAGUGACAUAAAUUUAAAUAGUGAAGUAGUACUUGUACUCUGUUACAUUACAACACUGCAUCUUACCCACACCCAGCUGCAUUAUCUUGGACUUUUGCUCCCUUCUGGGAGGCUUUAUGGCAGCCAUUGAAAAGUGCACAGCUAAGCUUCUAAAACUAUGCAGAGCCAGAAGAGCAGCUUUUGGACAUGAAAUGAAUGAGUUCCUGGAAAGGCUUGAAGAAAGGGCAAGUUAUGUUCCAGUAUUUAAAUAUUUUAUGGUUUGAUCUACAUUAAUUUGGGUAAUGAUAACAUCAUUCUCAUACUUGGCUAUUUGGUUGUUACUUUUGUAUGUUUUUAAAGGUGACAAAAAUUGUUACCUGCUAUAACACCAUGUUCAUUCCAAUAUUUCUGCCAACGUAAUAUUGUCUGAACAUACAAAAUUUACACUGGUCAGCUGUUUCUGUCUAUUAUCUCUAGUGUAAUGUCUUUUUGUAUUGUCUUAUAUUUUUUUGUUUGCACUGUCUUUUGUCCUGCACUGUCUUGUCUGUCUUGUUGUGUCUUGUCUUGCACUGUUUUCACCAGGUUGCCCAGUUGCACUUUAAGUGGCUAGGACUACUUACUGCGUCCUUAGCCCUGUCUUUGUUUUGUGUGGCACCAUGGUCCUGUAAAGUAUAUAUCCAAAUCUUUAAAAGGUUUAAAGCAAGUGUAUCCAAACCAUAUUCUGCAGAGUGUAGCUCCACCCUACCUGGAAAUACUAGUAAUACUGAAGACCUUGAGUAGCUGUUUAUGUUUAUUUAAAGUUAAAGCUAAAUUCUGUAGCACAGUCUCCUAAAAACAAAUUUAAAUUGUCUAAACAAGUAUUGUUACUAAUUGAACUAUAAAACUAUUGUUCACAAGCAUCAAGUUGCCUUGUUUUUUUUUUCUUUCUACAUUUUCUCAACUUUUGUUUUUUUUUUUACAGUGAAGAGGGCAUGAGAGCGAUUCCAGUUUGCACAAAAUGCAGGUUCCCCUCAAGCGGAUUUGAGUGCUUCAAUGUGGAUUUAUCACACAUCCCAUGGUGAAUGGCAGCAUACAGUACCACAGAGAAUAAUGGCAGACCAUGCAUCAUACUGAGAGCAAUUGUAUAUACUAUUGUAAUAAUGAAUAAGUUUGUGGUGUAACAAAUUUAUCAUAUUAUCUCUUUCAUAAAUAAAAGGGUACAUUUAACUAAUAAUUAUCACAGCUGAGAAUUCCUAGACUAACAAUAAAUCAUAGAUAUCUGCUUGUACUACACCACUGGAUUUAAUUAUCAACUCUGCUUCAUGUCAAACUCAUUUUGUUGGCUUUCAGAUGAAUUCCCUUUGAAUUUAUGAGACAAUUGCUCCUGUUUGGGAAGAACAUAAAAUAUAUCUUUAAUAAUAUAUCUACAGAAUGUAUAACUUUUUGUCACUGGUAAUAUGGAAAACAGUGGCACAUUUUUACAAGAUUUGGUUUGGUUCAAAUGCAUAAAGAAAAGUUUUAGGAACAAAUUUUUUUUUUACAAAAUAUUAAAUAAAUGUAUUUAAAAUAACUAAACAUUUUCUGUCUUUAGGUCAUAGAUUUUAUAUUGAUGCUGAUUUUGAAAUAAUGAUGUCAUAUUAGCAUACGCCAUGUUUUAUGGUAUUCAUACUUUCAUCAACACUGAUGUCACAUUAGCAAGAAUGGCUUUGUAAGCAAGAGUGAUGGAAGUAUGGUGAGGCCAUUGCAUCACCACCAACAUUCAGGAUUCCUUCAUUCCAACUGCAAGUGAAAGUUCAUAUAAGUUCAAGCAGUUGCAUUUAUUUUGUAACAAACAUUCUACUUUUCUUGAUAUUUCUGGUGAUGUCAAUGAAACCAAAUACACAUAACUGGAUAUAUACCUGUACUUGGAAGCUCUGAUAAAGCAAUAGGAUGUAAAUUGGGACAUAAAUAAAUGUAAAAUGGGACAUAAAUAAUCACAAACCAAUUCCAGGCUUGAUGCUUGUUUUACUGCUAUAAACAUAUUUAAAUCUAUUACAAAUCUACUUUAAAUCUACUUAUUAUAUCUAUUCAUUUUUAACUUAAACAAUUUAAAAAAACAAUAACAUAAUAAUCUUAACUCAGGUUAGUAAUUACAAGAGUGUUUAAGUCAUAUAAUAUAAAUCAACAAUAACAAAAUUAUAGUACUUGGUGUAAUGUAAGGUAACGAUAAUGUGACAGACAAUAAAAGCUAAUUCAAAUGCUUACAUCAGGUCCACUUGAUGAUGUUGAAUUCCAUUUACAUUGAUCAUGUAUUUUCAAAGCUCUGAAUAAACAUCAAACUAUGUUUACAACUGAGGCUUAAACCCAGGUUGCUGGCAUUUUGCAACAGUUACCACAUUGUUAAUAUUAUGUGAAUUGAUCAUGUUCAUGUUCUAAAAUCAAUUUCAAUUUAAAAUUGUAAU